AUUGAACGCUGGCGGCAGGCCUAACACAUGCAAGUCGAGCGGAUGACGGGAGCUUGCUCCUUGAUUCAGCGGCGGACAGGUGAGUAAUGCCUAGGAAUCUGCCUGGUAGUGGGGGACAACGUUUCGAAAGGAACGCUAAUACCGCAUACGUCCUACGGGAGAAAGCAGGGGACCUUCGGGCCUUGCGCUAUCAGAUGAGCCUAGGGCGGAUUAGCUAGUUGGUGAGGUAAUGGCUCACCAAGGCGACGAUCCGUAACUGGUCUGAGAGGAUGAUCAGUCACACUGGAACUGAGACACGGUCCAGACUCCUACGGGAGGCAGCAGUGGGGAAUAUUGGACAAUGGGCGAAAGCCUGAUCCAGCCAUGCCGCGUGUGUGAAGAAGGUCUUCGGAUUGUAAAGCACUUUAAGUUGGGAGGAAGGGCAGUAAGUUAAUACCUUGCUGUUUUGACGUUACCGACAGAAUAAGCACCGGCUAACUCUGUGCCAGCCGCCGCUGUAAAAC
rnacentral:rRNA from 1 species